rnacentral:rRNA from 1 species
CGAUAACGAACGAGACCUUAACCUACUAAAUAGUGCUGCUAGCAUUUGCUGGUUUGUCACUUCUUAGAGGGACUAUCGGUUUCAAGCCGAUGGAAGUUUGAGGCAAUAACAGGUCUGUGAUGCCCUUAGACGUUCUGGGCCGCACGCGCGCUACACUGACGGAGCCAGCGAGUAUAACCUUGGCCGAGAGGUCUGGGUACUCUUCUGAAACUCCGUCGUGCUGGGGAUAGAGCAUUGUAAUUAUUGGUCUUCAACGAGGAAUUCCUAGUAAGCGCGAGUCAUCGGCUUGCGUUGAUUACGUCCUUGCCCUUUGUACACACCGCCCGUCGCUAGUACCGAUUGAAUGGCU